rnacentral:rRNA from 1 species
UACGGGGGGGGCAAACGUUGCUCGGAAUUAUUGGGCGUAAAGCGCACGUAGGCGGCUUAGUAAGUUGGAUGUGAAAUCCCUCGGCUUAACCAAGGAAGUGCAUCCAAAACUACUGAGCUUGAGUACUAAAGAGGAUCGCGGAAUUCCCGGUGUAGAGGUGAAAUUCGUAGAUAUCGGGAGGAACACCAGUGGCGAAGGCGGCGAUCUGGGUAGAUACUGACGCUGAGGUGCGAAAGCGUGGGGAGCAAACAGG